rnacentral:rRNA from 2 species
GAUGAACGCUGGCGGCGUGCUUAACACAUGCAAGUCGAACGAUGAAGCCCAGCUUGCUGGGUGGAUUAGUGGCGAACGGGUGAGUAACACGUGAGUAACCUGCCCUUAACUCUGGGAUAAGCCUGGGAAACUGGGUCUAAUACCGGAUAGGAGCGUCCACCGCAUGGUGGGUGUUGGAAAGAUUUAUCGGUUUUGGAUGGACUCGCGGCCUAUCAGCUUGUUGGUGAGGUAAUGGCUCACCAAGGCGACGACGGGUAGCCGGCCUGAGAGGGUGACCGGCCACACUGGGACUGAGACACGGCCCAG